CCUAACACAUGCAAGUCGAACGGGAAGCGGUGCAUAUUGCUUCGGUGAUAAUGUGCCGUGGAGAGUGGCGAACGGGUGCGUAACACGUAGGUAACCUGCCCUGAAAGGGGGGAUAACCACGGGAAACUGUGGCUAAUACCGUAUAAUCUCGCCGUGGCGGUGGUUACGGUGAGGAAAGCUGAGGCGAUUUGGGAGGGGCCUGCGGUCGAUUAGCUGGUUGGUGGGGUAAAGGCCCACCAAGGCGAUGAUCGAUAGCUGUUCUGAGAGGAAGACCAGCCACACGGGAACUGAGACACGGUUCCGACUCCUACGGGGGGCAGCAGUGAGGAAUAUUGCGCAAUGGGGGGAACCCUGACGCAGCAACGCCGCGUGGAGGACGAAGGUUUUCGGAUUGUAAACUCCUUAACUGGGGGAAGAGAGAGGACGGUACCCCAGGACGAAGACACGGCUAAC
rnacentral:rRNA from 1 species